CCUACGGGGGGCUGCAGUGGGGAAUAUUGGGCAAUGGGCGCAAGCCUGACCCAGCAACGCCGCGUGAAGGAAGAAGGCUUUCGGGUUGUAAACUUCUUUUCUCAGGGACGAAGCAAGUGACGGUACAUGAGGAAGAAGCGACGGCUCACGACGGGCCAGCAGCCUCGGUAAUACGUAGGUGGCAAGCGUUAUCCGGAUUGACUGGGUGUAAAGGGCGAGGAGGCGGGGACGCAAGGCAGAUGUGAAAACCCCGGGCUCACCCUGUGGCCUGCAUUUGAAACUGUGUUUCUUGAGUACUGGAGAGGCAGCCGGAAUUCCUAGUGUAGCGGUGAAAUGCGUAGAUAUUAGGAGGAACACCCGUGGCGCAGGCGGUCUGCUGGACCGCAACUGACGCUGCGGCGCGAAAGCGUGGGGAGCAAACCGGAUUAGCUACCCCUGUAGUC
rnacentral:rRNA from 1 species